rnacentral:rRNA from 2 species
CGGACGGGUGAGUAACGCGUGGGUAACCUGCCUCAUACAGGGGGAUAACAGUUGGAAACGACUGCUAAUACCGCAUAAGCGCACAGGAUCGCAUGAUCCGGUGUGAAAAACUCCGGUGGUAUGAGAUGGACCCGCGUCUGAUUAGCCAGUUGGCAGGGUAACGGCCUACCAAAGCGACGAUCAGUAGCCGACCUGAGAGGGUGACCGGCCACAUUGGGACUGAGACACGGCCCAA